ACAAAGAAGAAGAAGAAGAAGAAGAAGAAGAAGAAGAAGAAGAAGAAGAAGAAGAAGAAGAAGAAGAAGGACAAGGACAAGGACAACGAGGAGAACAACAACACCGGUCUGACCGUUGAGGCUCCUGUCAGUGUGGGAGCAGCAGCACAGACCAAGACAGCACCUGUCAGUCACCAGUCCUGAUGUCAGCUGUACAGUUGAGAGCCAUUCUGCAGGAAUAUGUUUGUUGGCUGGUAAAUGUCUUCUUCUUUUUUAAACAUCUGCUGCAUGCGAUAAUCAGAAAGCUUUCAGUGGCAGAUAAAAGACCGAAGCCCGAAAAUAUUUAGAUCUGACUAAGAUUAAAUUUGGAUUAAAACAAACUGUAGCAGUUAAAAUAAGUGUUGACUAGAAGUGGUGUGAAAAUGUUCUUGGGAGCUUUCUUUCAUUGAGAUGGAUGAAAUGCAUACAUACAAAGUGUUUUGUUUCCAUGUCAGUCAUGAUGUUGGAGUCCAAAUACUGUCAUGAUAUCAUAACACACAGAGCUGCCUCUGUGUCGCUUUAGCACUCUGUCUGCCUCAGCACUGAAUGUGCAAGAGGAGAUUACAAACUGCACCAGGCAGCAGAAUGUCCUCAUCAAGAGUCCUGGAGACAACAGGAGUAAGUGUCAGAGUUUCAGUCAGAAUAUCUUUUAACAGUUCUAUUCAUUUUACUUGCCUAUUAAAAUUGAGAAAAGGUUAGAGGAAUAAUAGGUUUGAGUACUCUGUGAUUGUUAGAUGCAUCACUGUUUACAGCUAAUCUCCUGAAGCCACCUGAAGGUCAGGAUGUAGCAGACUCAGGGUGUGGUUUUAAAUACUGCCUCAUAGCAUGUGGAAGAUAUUACCUGUAAAGGAAAGCACAUCUCCUGCAGGUAGACACACACACACACACUCUUUCGGGACCGUUGGGGCUCAAUAAUUCUGCACUCUGAAAUGGGCCAUUCUGUAUAAUGCAUUUUACUUUUGAUACUUUAGGUUUUGCUGGAAAUACUUCUGAGUACUUCCUCCACCACUGUCAGUAAGAUUUACUUGAUUCAUUCACUAAUACUUAGUGCAUGUGCCUUAAAAUUAAUGUGUUUUAAUGUAAACAAAUGCCAUUGGAGGGUACCUAACGUUACCAAAACAUAUAUUGAUAACAUAUUUUCUAAAGAUAUUAAGACAUUUAUUUGCACUUUAUUACACCCCUGACGGACAUAUUCAGCUCUGUUUGGUCAGCAGAUCAGUUAAAAUGCUGCAGGGAGGAAUAGUACAAACAGAAACAGCCACAGUGAGCUGAAAGGGCUUACUGUGGUUUGUGACCAGCACACCUCCAUCACGUCAUCAAGCUAAACCACUUCACCUUGCUGUGUGAUGCAGUGGGAAAACACCUGCACCGUGUCAGUGUGGCUCCACUGCUUGCGGCUGUUCACAGCGUGACUCGCCGCAACUAACUAUUCAAUUCAGUUUUAUUUAUAUAGCGGCAAUUCAUAACAGAAGUUAUCUCAUUGCGCUACCCCCCCCACAAUGGAGAAACCCUCAUGUAGAACUGAGUGAAAUCAUUUUACAAUAUAUUUAUAUGUGCCCGGUCACAUAUAACUACACAUUGCUUCUUAAAUGUAGAGAUGUUCAUACACCUACAUGCACUGUAGUCUUUGUAGCAAAUAUGAAUUAUAUUGUUCUAGAGGGUUUAUGAAAUUGCACUGUUACAAUGGCUUAACCUCAUAAUGAAAGACACAUCAUUUUUAACUUGUCUAGGACAUGCAAAACACACAGUUCCUACUGUAGUGUGACUGCUGUGUACAGAUCCUAGCUGAGAAGCAGCGCUGCAGUGAGCAACAGAGAUCAGAGCCCGAGCAGCAGUGCUGUCCUGUGGCCACCGAACAGCUGGGGAAGGGACUUCACUCUGCAGCUCUACACCUAAACACUUCACCUUUGAGGUGAAGACUGGUGGAAGCUGGCCAGCAGACAGUAUGAGCUUGCUUUCUUGGGCUGGAGGGGUGCAUGGUCUUCCCCUAGAUCUGUUGAUGUAGCACUGGUGUCUGUGGGAGGCUACAUAAGAACACAAGGCCAAAUUGAGUGUGAUGACGAGGCUGAUGGGUCCUGUGAUGUGUGCUACCUCUGAUUUCCUAUGGUGCUGAGUGUUCGUGAAACUCCAUUUGGAAAUGAGCUGCUGUUUGUUAGCUCACCACAGGGUGGCUGUGGGUAACUGUGUCCUCACUAUGUUGGUGUGAGCACCAUCUUUGGGCCAACUUGCACUGAUGCACAAUAUUUUGAUGAAGUAGAUCUUUCACUGUGUGUGAGAUCCUUACUUACUUCCUAGUGAGGUGCUCUUCCACAUUAGUGAGUCUUUAACAACCUGUCUAUAAUUAUGUGUCUUCUGCUGAUAUCUACUGUACAUCUUUACAGCACAAUCCCAGCAUUUCUGGAGAAUCUUAAGCUCUGAUGUUAGAAAGGCUCAACUUUGGAAUUGGUUAGUAACCCUGCAGUUUACAUCUGCAGAUCAAAAACCUGUUGGUGCUCGUCAGAUGUGUGAGAUCUGGAUGGCUGCUAAAUUAAUUUUAUCAUUUACUAUAACCUCCUUUAUAGACUUAUGGUAACUGAUGAAAACUGAUACAAUGCCCACAAAUUAAAUAUCUAGAAAGAAAUACAGUUGAUUUUUAGGAUAGAAAGAUGAACAUUAGCUGUGCAAUUACACAUCCUGCCAUGACUCUAAUGGGAAUAUGAUACAAAACAAAAAAGCCAGUUCAGACUUUUUGGAAUGAAACACACUUUAAUCACUAAUUUUUAUUAAGAUUCGUAUUACUUUUAAACUGAAAUGAUAUCUUUUAGCCCAUCAAAAUUUAAAAGCUCUGGAAACUUUUGAAAGUUCAGAGGACAACAAGCCACUAACUGUACUUGAGAUCUGGUUUUGAGGGAUAAAAUAAACAAAUUUAGAUUUUUGGGGGGUAUUGUUGCAAUGACCAGUGGUGACUGUUCGCCCCAAGAAUGGUGCUGUGCUCAUAGUAUAACACUGAAUAACACUGAAUAACAAUUGCGCUAUUAGAUAUGAUUGUUUAGUAAAUUAGAAAAUUGAUUUUAUUACUGUAUUAUCACCAUUAUUUCAAUAAAUUCAGAUCACUCUAACUCUCUUA